rnacentral:misc_RNA from 1 species
AGGAAGUCUCAAAGUGACAAAAUUGGAUUAAAGCAGCAGGUUGUAAUAUGGUGGGCUGGGCUCAUGCGAGGAGCUGUAUCUGUGGCACUCGCUUAUAAUCAGUUUACCAACUCCGGGCAUACUCUAUUGCCGGGAAAUGCCAUGAUGAUAACAAGCACCAUUUCAGUUGUUCUUUUUAGCACAGUGGUAAGAGACCUCAUCCUGAUUAAAAAGCUUGCUUAUCCAUCCAGUCUGUGGUAAUAUAAACUGUAGUAGCUUUGAUUGUGAAGUAUGAUAUUUAUAGGAUGAUUGGGGUUCUAUGCUAGUUUUGUAAUGUACUCCCUCUUAAUGCUACAACAGUAUCACUAGAGAUGUCAUAGACUCUCUGCGCAAUGUUAGUUGACUGUGUUUCCAACAUAAGUCAAGCAAUAGACAUAGAUGAUUUCAUAAGCAUGAAGCCACUUGAGCUUGUUUGUCCUUUCAGGUAUUUGGAUUAGUAACCAAGCCUCUUAUGAGAGUGUUAUUGCCAAAGACACAAUCAAGCAAUGAAUUAAGUUGUGAGUUAGCAGAUUCAGUUGAUUCAAAGUCUCUUGCUUUACCACUUCUUGGUAAUGGGAAAGAAAGAGAAUCAGAUGCCGAUAUUAAUAUUCCCCUUCCAACAAGCAAACGCAUGCUUCCGUGGGACCCAACUCAUACUGUCCAUCACUAUUGGCGGAAAUUUGAUGAUGCCUUCAUGCGUCCGGUGUUUGGCGGAAGAGGAUUUACACAAUAUGUUCCUGCCUCACCAACACAAUGGACUCUUCUUUGAUAUAUGG